GAUGAACGCUGGCGGCGUGCUUAACACAUGCACGUCGAACGGUGAAGGCGGAGCUUGCUCUGCUGGAUCAGUGGCGAACGGGUGAGUAACACGUGAGCAAUCUGCCCCUGACUCUGGGAUAAGCGCUGGAAACGGCGUCUAAUACUGGAUACGAGCUGCGAAGGCAUCUUCAGCAGCUGGAAAGAACUUCGGUCAGGGAUGAGCUCGCGGCCUAUCAGCUUGUUGGUGAGGUAACGGCUCACCAAGGCGUCGACGGGUAGCCGGCCUGAGAGGGUGACCGGCCACACUGGGACUGAGACACGGCCCAGACUCCUACGGGAGGCAGCAGUGGGGAAUAUUGCACAAUGGGCGAAAGCCUGAUGCAGCAACGCCGCGUGAGGGACGACGGCCUUCGGGUUGUAAACCUCUUUUAGCAGGGAAGAAGCGAAAGUGACGGUACCUGCAGAAAAAGCGCCGGCUAACUACGUG
rnacentral:rRNA from 1 species